rnacentral:rRNA from 1 species
UACGUAGGGUGCAAGCGUUAAUCGGAAUUACUGGGCGUAAAGCGUGCGCAGGCGGUGAUGUAAGACAGGUGUGAAAUCCCAGGCUUAACCUUGGAACUGCAUUUGUGACUGCAUAGCUAGAGUACGGUAGAGGGGGAUGGAAUUCCGCGUGUAGCAGUGAAAUGCGUAGAUAUGCGGAGGAACACCGAUGGCGAAGGCAAUCCCCUGGACC